rnacentral:rRNA from 1 species
CGCGUAGGCGGCCUGUUAAGUCAGAUGUGAAAGCCCCGGGCUCAACCUGGGAACUGCAUUUGAUACUGGCGAGCUAGAGUCCGAUAGAGGGGGGUGGAAUUCCAGGUGUAGCGGUGAAAUGCGUAGAUAUCUGGAGGAACACCGGUGGCGAAGGCGGCCCCCUGGAUCGAGACUGACGCUGAGGUGCGAAAGCGUGGGGAGCAAACA